GUGGGGCUAAGCAGCUUGGAAGCGUUGAUUAGUUUUCAAACUAUGAGGUUUCCUCUCUUUUCACUUGCAAUGAGAAUACCAUGCUAAUGUUAAUCACAGCCACUGACUGCCAGACUGCCACAGCGGAUGAGGUCUGCCUUAGCCUGCAUUGUAGCGGUCAAUGAGAACCCGGAGGCCCCUCCCUGGACUCUAUCAACCCCUUGGACACAGAGCUGCACCUGGACUCCAUCAACCCCAUGGACACAGAGCUGCACCUGGACUCUAUCAACCCCAUACUUAUACGCUACUAUCUAUAUUAGCAUGUAAACAUACUACCACUCGGUGGAGGCUCCUCAGAGGAGGAAGGGGAGGACCAUCCUCCUCAGUGAAUUUCAUAAAAAUAUUCCAACAAAAUUAUCCUUUUUAAAUAAAACAAUACUAAAUAUAUUUACUUUAUCAAAUUAUUGAUUAAAUCACACUGUUUUGUAAAAUGAAGGUCUACAGUCGCCUCAACAGCAUUCUCUGGGUUAGCACCGUGGUGUAGCUGGAGGACAGCUAGUUUCCGUCCUCCUCUGGGUGUAAUGACUUUAAUACAAACCUAGGAGGAACCUGAUUCUCACCCCCUUCCAUAGACUUACACAGUAACUUGGAGGAAGUCCUCCAACCUUUCAGAGCUCUUGCAGUAUUAACUGACAUGCUGAUCAAAGGAUCAGAGAACGAAUCUAGUACUGAAAGCAUAAGCUACAGCUAGCUAGCACUGCAGUGCAUAAAAUGUGGUGAGUAGUUGACUCAAAGAGAGAGAAAGACAAAAUAGUUGAACAGUUUCAAACAAAUUGAUUAAUUAAAAAAAUAUGGGAGAGAGAGAGAGAGAGAGCGAUAGCUAUGCUUCGUUGUAUAUUUUUUUUAACUUUCACUUACCUAGCUAACGAAUGCAGCUAGCUAGUUUAGCCUACUCAAACACCUGGCUCAAACAGAAAGGGAUGCUAUGCUAGCUAGCUGGCUAUGGCUAUUCAACGCUGGAUAUCUUCCAAGUCAAGGUAAGCUUUUGAUUUUAUAAAUGUAUUGCCACUGGGGCCCACUGGUGUAACUGCUGAACUGCUAGCUGAUGGGUUGUGCACUGUCCACAAGCGAAGGGAAAAGGUGAGAGGAGGAGAGUGCAUAGAUGAAAGAAGGAAUUAUACGAGCAAAUGAUUGUGCUGUUUGUAUGUAGCUGCUAUGAAAAUGAACUGUGUUUGCGGUGAUCAGGGGUGUAUUCAUUCCACCGAUUCUGUUAAGAAACGUUUCUUGAACCGAAGCAAACGGAAUGAAACAAGGAUAAACAUACUUGAAUUUGUCCAAUAGAAGCUCUCGUUUAGACUAGCGACUACACCCUAGAUAAGCUAGAUGCAGGCAAGAGUGUGCACGGCGGUAUUGAAUUUGAACAUUUAUCUUGACAAACAUUUAUCUUGACCUGUGCACAUACAUUGUAAACUUUCAUUCAUAGGCUAGGUUGUAGCAACCUCAUGAUGGGUAUAGGAAACGUUUGAGUAUCAUGUAGUAACCUAAACUUAUCGAUGUUACAUUGAGCUGGGUAAAUAAAAUAUGAAUGAUAAUCAUCUAAUAUGCUGUAAUAGAAAUAAGGCCGUGCUCAUUAAAAAACAAAUCCUCCUCCUUCGUGACACGUGUACAAUGUUUGCAAUGCAGUCUCUGAAGGUGUGCCUGGUGUGCCUUUCUCUACCUAUCCCUAGCAUCCGUUGCAUGUGAAAUGUGUUGCUAUAGAUUUGUCUGUGUGUGUGUGUGUUCCCAGGCUGGCCAGUAUCAAUGCGGUGAAGCUCUCUCGGGCGACCUGGGAGAAUGUUUCAUCCACUGUACACUACUCCUAACAGCUGCAUAGAGCUGAUUAGCUAGACAAGUUAGAGGGUCACACUCCACAUUAAAGGUUGCAAUAGCACUAGGCCGUCAUUGAAAAUAAGAACUGACUUGCCUAGUAAAAUAAAGGUAAAAAAAUUAAUUAAAUAAAAAAUAAAAAAUGAUGCUGUGAAUAUGUAUCCUUCCUGCAGUCAAAUGACCAUAUUGCCCUCUAGUGGCCUCAUGGGUGGAAUAGUAUUUAAGAUUUUUUAAAUAAUUAAUUCCUAAUGAAUAAAUAAAAAAUAAGCUGAAAAUCUGGUGUUUCUUUGUCAAAUGUUUAUGUUAUAUUUCAGUCUUCUGUGAUGUAUAUAAAGGUUCAUAUUGGGAUGCAAACUCAAAAUGUAAUACAUUUCAACAGGUGUCUUCUUUUUUUAAGCCCAUAGCCAUGUGUGUGAGAUGUUUACUUUUGUUUCAAAGUAGAUUUGUUUACGACUACCAAGAAGGUUAAUGAAGUGAGAAGAAGGCAUUGGUCUGAAGCCAAAAAAGAAAGGAAAUUCAUGGCUACUCCACCCAUGCUCUACCAAGAACAAUGUCCAGUGUGAAGUGGUUUCUCAAGACAUACCAGCCAGGAAAGUGGAACAUUUCGACGCUAAGCUGAAGCCACAGGAACCUCAACCUAGUGAUGCCGUAAUCAGACACUCCUGCACACCAAAGACAAUUGGCUAUCUGGCCACGGUUGGCCUCUUCUCAGGGGAGGUGGAGCCCUAUGGGACGACCCGAGACAAAAUUUGUCUGGAGGUUAUGGACCGCCUCAAGGCACAGCCUGAUGGGAAAUACGUGGUGGUCACGUGGUAAGGUCAUUACACACACGAAUACACUCAAACACAUACAUACACUUAAACACACACAUAUACAUAG